CCUGCGCCGGGGAUGCGGCGGCGUCGGCGCCGGCUAACGGUCCAGGGAGGCGGCAGGGGCGGCGGGAGCCGCUAGGCGGAGAGAGACCAGACAGAGUUUUGCUCUUAUUGCCCAGGCUGGAGUGCAAUGGCACGAUCUCAGCUCACUGCAACGUCUGCCUCCCAGGUUCAAGCGAUUCUCCUGCCUCAGCCUCCCGAGUAGCUGGGAUUACAGGGCCUACUGCAGUGCAUGAAGGUGGUAUGGACUCAGAACUCUGAAGUCUGAGGAGACAAAUACAUGCCCACCAUAACAACAUCACACAAUACCUAGAGUCAAAACAGUUAUCCCUAUUCCUACCCCCAACUGAGUUAUUCAAUAAAGCCUGCCUUGUUGAAUCUGUUUUCCCAUGUAUAGUUUAUAUAGUUACAUAACAAUUAGUUUUUUCCAUAUACUUAGGAUAACUACAUGUAAUUUAGUAUUCUGCUGUUUUCACUUACAUAUCACAUACAUUUUCCUGAUACAGGUACAUAGUCUUUAUAUUUGUCAUUUUUCACUUGACUGCUAUGUUUCUCAAAUUGAUAUACUGUCAUUUCCUAAGCCAGUUAUAUAUUGUUGAACAUUUAAAUUACUCCCUUUUUUGGUUUGUAAAUAAACAUUGUUAUGAAAUA
rnacentral:lncRNA from 1 species